ensembl:lncRNA
AAGACUCUUGGGAGUUCCUUGGACUGCAAGGAGAUCAAACCAGUCAACUCUAAAGGAAAGCAACCCUGAAUACUUAUUGGAAGGACUGAUGUUGAAGCUGAAGCUCCAAUCUUUUGGCCACCUGAUGCAAAGAGCUGGCUCCUUGGACAAGACCCUGAUGUUGAGAAAGAAUGAAGGUCUGCUGAGGGUACAGGCAGCUUUCCAGGGCAGCUGUCUUCCAUGUGGGAGCAUAGAACCAUCCUCCCGGUUGGGAGCACAAACUAACUUGAUCAUGUGGCACUUCCGUAACAAUUCUUCCCACAAUUGUUGUGGCAGUGGAAGAGAGAGUCUGCUCAGAGUUACAGAAAGCUGCUAUUUUGCAGAAAGAGAAAUAUGUUAAAAAUGGCACCUCUUGGGCUUCUCAGUGGCUCAGCGGUAAAGAAUCUGCCUGCAAUGCAGGAGACACAGGAGAUGCUGAUUUGAUCCCUGGGUCAAGAAAAUCCCCUGGAAGAGGGCAUGGCAACCACUCCAGUAUUCUUGCUUGGAAAAUCCCAUGGAGCGAAGAAGCCUGGUGGGCUACAGUGCAUGGGGUCGCAAAGACUUAGCAACUGAGCACCAGCACCAG